CUACAGGAUUCCCUAGUAGCGGCGAGCGAAGCGGGAAGAGCUCAAUUUGUAAUCUGGCACCUUCGGUGUCCGAGUUGUAAUCUCGAGAAGUGUUUUCCGCGCUGGACCGCAUACAAGUCUGUUGGAAUACAGCGUCAUAGUGGUGAGAACCCCGUACAUGAUGCGGAUGCCCAGUGCUUUGUGAUACACUUUCGAAGAGUCGAGUUGUUUGGGAAUGCAGCUCAAAUUGGGUGGUAAAUUCCAUCUAAAGCUAAAUAUUGGCGAGAGACCGAUAGCGAACAAGUACCGUGAGGGAAAGAUGAAAAGCACUUUGGAAAGAGAGUUAACAGUACGUGAAAUUGUUGGAAGGGAAACGCUUGAAGUCAGACUUGCGUAUUGGAAUUUCAGCCGCGAGGUGCAUUCUUCAGUUUGCAGGCCAGCAUCAGUUUUUCGGGGGGUGCAAAAGGGGUGAGAAGGAAAGGUAACCAACCUCCCGGUUGGGGUUAUAACCCCCCCCCCGGGAAGGCAUCCCUUGGGGGAACGGAGGAAACGCCACCGGUAA
rnacentral:rRNA from 1 species